CCGCCGAUGGCGUCCCGGCUUGCCGGGCGUACAGGUAAGGGUGAAACGGUGCGGUAAGAGCGCACCGCAGUGCUGGUGACAGCACUGGCAGGGUAAACCCCACCGGGAGCAAGACCAAGCAGGGCGGAUUCGACUUCGGUCGAGACGGUGCGGUUCGUACCGUGAGCGUCAUCUCUUUCGGGAGAUUUCGUUCGCACGUCCGGGUAGGUUGCGACGAGGCGUUUGGGUAACCAGCGUCCCAGAGAAAUGAUCGUCCCCGACAGAACCCGGCUUAUCGGCCCGCUCCGCUG
rnacentral:RNase_P_RNA from 1 species